AUUGAACGCUGGCGGCAUGCCUUACACAUGCAAGUCGAACGGCAGCACGGGUGCUUGCACCUGGUGGCGAGUGGCGAACGGGGGAGUAAUACAUCUGAACAUGUCCUGUCGUGGGGGAUAGCCCGGCGAAAGCCGGAUUAAUACCGCAUACGAACUACGGCUGAAAGCGGGGGACCUUCGGGCCCCGCGCUAUCGGGUUGGCCGAUGGCGGAUUAGCUAGUUGGUGGGGUAAAGGCCUACCAAGGCGACGAUCAGUAGCUGGUCUGAGAGGACGACCAGCCACACUGGGACUGAGACACGGCCCAGACUCCUACGGGAGGCAGCAGUGGGGAAUUUUGGACAAUGGGCGAAAGCCUGAUCCAGCAAUGCCGCGUGUGUGAAGAAGGCCUUCGGGUUGUAAAGCACUUUUGUCCGGAAAGAAAUCCUUGGCCCUAAUACGGUCGGGGGAUGACGGUACCGGAAGAAUAAGCACCGGCUAACUACGUG
rnacentral:rRNA from 1 species